rnacentral:rRNA from 1 species
CCUACGGGAGGCUGCAGUGGGGGAUAUUGCACAAUGGGGGGAACCCUGAUGCAGCGACGCCGCGUGGGUGAAGAAGCGCCUCGGCGCGUAAAGCCCUGUCAGCAGGGAAGAAAAUGACGGUACCUGAAGAAGAAGCCCCGGCUAACUACGUGCCAGCAGCCGCGGUAAUACGUAGGGGGCAAGCGUUAUCCGGAUUGACUGGGUGGAAAGGGGGCGCAGACGGCGAUGCAAGCCAGGAGUGAAAGCCCGGGGCCCAACCCCGGGACUGCUCUUGGAACUGCGUGGCUGGAGUGCAGGAGGGGCAGGCGGAAUUCCUGGUGUAGCGGUGAAAUGCGUAGAUAUCAGGAGGAACCCCGGUGGCGAAGGCGGCCUGCUGGACUGCAACUGACGUUGAGGCCCGAAAGCGUGGGGAGCAAACAGGAUUAGAUACCCCAGUAGUC